rnacentral:lncRNA from 1 species
CGGAACCUGGCGCACAUCACUUUCAAAACGCAGCGGGGCCUGGAACCAAGGCCAAGGCCGCCUCUUUCGGUUUCACUUGGACGCUUGUUCUUGCUGGGGAUGGAGGUCAAUCACAAGGCUCCGGGAAGCACGGGCACGAGUCACAAAGCAGGUCACUGAGACAGCGGCACCAGGCCCGCCAGUCCGAUCUGCUGACCCCAGCCAGGGCCCAGCACUCCCAUGCCCUGCACUGCACGAGGCUGCCCGGGACAGUGCCUGCAGGGGAGAUGACUCGGCAAUGACUCUCUGGGCCCCUCCUCCCACCCCAUCACUCAUGGGGUUGUCCAGGGCAAGAGGCCCAGGGGAAUCCGCAGGAGAGCCAGGGCACAGGGCACGAGUGCGGCCCCAGGCUGAGGCCUCCGUGGGACUGAGCUUCAGGGCCACGCUGCCAUGCUGAGCUCUCACGGGGCCUCCGCCUGGACCACCAGGCACCCUCAGGCUGACUGGCCCCUGUGUGCCACCCAUGUGGCCCAAGGCCUGUCCCCCUCAUGCCAAGAGCCCCGUAGGGCCCCUUCGAGUAGAAUGCAGCAUUCCCUGCCCCUCCGAAGCAGUGAGUGGUUCAGGGGCAGAGCUGGGCCUGGGCGAGGGGCCCCCGGGGGGUGGGGUGAUGCCAUCACUGUUGCCGUCCUACGGGUUGAGACAGGACAGCUGCCCAUCACCCCUUGAUGCAAGCUGGCUGCAGGCUGCCUGACCAGUUCCCGGGGACACCGUGCUCAACCCUGUGGUGACAACUGGGGAUUCCGAAGGACAGGGAGGUCUUACUUUCUGUUAAACACUUUUAUUUUCCCUGAGAUACAAUCCACACCAGGAGGGGCACCUGUCCGGAGCAUAUGACUCAACGGUUUCAACGUAUUCUAAGGCAGACCACCACAGCUUCUAAUUCCAAAACAUUCCGCUCCCCCAAAACACAGCCGUGUCCCCAACAGCAGUCACUCCCCCGCCUCUACAGCCCCUGCAACCACACGCCCACUUCUCUUCUGUGGACUGGCCUGCUCUGGACACGUGACCACACGUCUACCCCCCAUCUGUGGACUGCCCUGCUCUGCACACGUCACAUGAACGGAGUCACGUGCCGUGGCCUUUUGCGUCUGGCGUCUCUCCGCAAGCACGUCUCCGCAGAGCAUCCAUGCCGGGCGCACAGACGACAGAUCUAAUCUCCGCCUCCUCACGGGGCCCAGGAGGCCCAGGGCGAGAGCUGAUGGGGCCCACGCAUCCGAAAUCCCCGUCUUGGCCAGAACCCCAGAAUGUUAAUCAGUUCAUCCAGGGAGACACCCACCGUCCCUGCCCCAGCACCAUCCGUGCCCGGCGUCCCUGGAGGCGCUGGGUGGGCUCUCCACAACGCCUGCCCCCCACGCCCCAGAACCCCCUCCAAGCCUCUGCAUGUGCCACGUCCCCCACUGGGGCUCACUCACCCGAGACUUUUAAACUGAGACUCCCUCAAAAGCUACUAAGACGAUCACCAGCCGGGCGCAGUGGCUCACGCCUGUAAUCGCAGCACUUUGAGAGGCUGAGGCGGAUGGAUCACUUGAGGUCGGG